rnacentral:lncRNA from 1 species
UCCAGAACACAUCAUGGAUAAUAAUUUUGGUAGUUUCUGUCUAUUACACAUAGCACAAAUGGAUAGUUUAUAUCUCUUACACAUAGCAUAAAUAGACAUAUCAUGUCUCUUAUACAUAGAACAAAUGGACAGUUGGCAAACAACAAAGUACAUAGUAGUCGAUACAUCAACCAAACAUGAUAGCAACAAUCAAUCCAAGGUCAAGAGCCAUGGCUUCCUUAA